rnacentral:lncRNA from 1 species
CCUGGGCUUUGCUCCACUUGGAGUCAGCUGAUUGGCGGGAGGGCAUCUGAAAUUGAGAGGAGGUUUCAGGACGUUUACCCAGCCCUUUAGUGGGGAUCUGUCUGGGACUGUGCAGUCUGAAUCUGCAACUGUAAAAGGCAUGGUCCCUGGAAACAACCCUGGUGCUGUCCAGCAGCGUGUUGAACAGGAAGUUGUGUGUGUGAAUACAAGGUUCCAUAAAAUUCCUGAUGGAGAUCGUGGAGUGAAAAGACAUUAUCACAGAAUUCCAACAAGGCUUGAAGGCAGAA